rnacentral:rRNA from 1 species
GGGGAAUCUUGCACAAUGGGGGAAACCCUGAUGCAGCGACGCCGCGUGAGUGAUGAAGCCCUUCGGGGUGUAAAGCUCUUUCGACGGGGACGAUUAUGACGGUACCCGGAGAAGAAGCUGCGGCUAACUACGUGCCAGCAGCCGCGGUAAUACGUAGGCAGCGAGCGUUGUUCGGAAGUACUGGGCGUAAAGAGUGCGUAGGCGGUUCGGCAAGUCUGGUGUGAAAUCUCCCGGCUUAACUGGGAGGGUGCGCCGGAAACUGCCGGGCUAGAGUGUGGGAGAGGAAAGUGGAAUUCCUGGUGUCGCGGUGAAAUGCGUAGACAUCAGGAGGAACACCUGCGGUGUAGACGGCUUUCUGGACCACUACUGACGCUGAGGCACGAAAGCGUGGGGAGCAAACA